rnacentral:rRNA from 1 species
GAUGAACGCUGGCGACGUGCCUAAUACAUGCAAGUCGAGCGAACAGACGAGGAGCUUGCUCCUCUGACGUUAGCGGCGGACGGGUGAGUAACACGUGGAUAACCUACCUAUAAGACUGGGAUAACUUCGGGAAACCGGAGCUAAUACCGGAUAAUAUAUUGAACCGCAUGGUUCAAUAGUGAAAGACGGUUUUGCUGUCACUUAUAGAUGGAUCCGCGCCGCAUUAGCUAGUUGGGAAGGUAACGGCUUACCAAGGCAACGAUGCGUAGCCGACCUGAGAGGGUGAUCGGCCACACUGGAACUGAGACACGGUCCAGACUCCUACGGGAGGCAGCAGUAGGGAAUCUUCCGCAAUGGGCGAAAGCCUGACGGAGCAACGCCGCGUGAGUGAUGAAGGUCUUCGGAUCGUAAAACUCUGUUAUUAGUGAAGAACAAAUGUGUAAGUAACUAUGCACGUCUUGACGGUACCAAAUCAGAAAGCCACGGCUAACUACGUG